GACGAACGCUGGCGGCGUGCCUAAUACAUGCAAGUUGAGCGCUGAAGGUUGGUACUUGUACCGACUGGAUGAGCAGCGAACGGGUGAGUAACGCGUGGGGAAUCUGCCUUUGAGCGGGGGACAACAUUUGGAAACGAAUGCUAAUACCGCAUAAAAACUUUAACCACAAGGUUUAAGUUUGAAAGAUGCAAUUGCAUCACUCAAAGAUGAUCCCGCCUUGUCUUAGCUAGUUGGUAAGGAAAAGGCUCACCAAGGCAAUGUUCCAUAGCCGACCUGAAAGGUGAUUGGCCACAAUGGGACCGGGACCCGGCCCAAACUCCUACGGGAAGCAGCAGUAGGGAAACUUCGGCAAUGGGCGAAAGUCUGGACGGGCAACGCCGGCGGGGGGAAGGAGGUUUUCGGGUCGUAAAACUCUGUUGGUAGGGAAGAACGAUGGUGGGAGUGGAAAGCGCAUCAAGUGACGGUAACUACCCAGAAAGGGACGGCUAACUACGUG
rnacentral:rRNA from 1 species